AAUCAACGCUGGCGGCGUGCCUCAGACAUGCAAGUCGAACGAUUAAAGCUCUCUUCGGAGAGUGUAUAGAGUGGCGCACGGGUGAGUAACACGUAAGUAAUCUACCCUCGAGUGGGGAAUAACAACCGGAAACGGUUGCUAAUACCGCAUAAUGCAGCGGCACCGCAAGGUGACAGUUGUUAAAGAUUUAUCGCUUGAGGAGGAGCUUGCGGCAGAUUAGCUAGUUGGUAGGUAACGGCUUACCAAGGCUACGAUCUGUAACCGGUCUAAGAGGACGGUCGGUCACACUGACACUGAAUAACGGGUCAGACUCCUACGGGAGGCAGCAGUC
rnacentral:rRNA from 1 species